GAUGAACGCUAGCUACAGGCUUAACACAUGCAAGUCGAGGGGUAACGAGAGGAAAGCUUGCUUUCCUUGUCGACGACCGUCGCACGGGUGAGUAACGCGUAUCCAACCUGCCCCCAACUAAGGAGUAACCUUGCGAAAGUAAGACUAAUACCUUAUAAUUUCCUCAGAUGUCAUCUGACGAGGAAUAAAGAUUUAUCGGUUGUGGAUGGGGAUGCGUCUGAUUAUCUUGUUGGCGGGGUAACGGCCCACCAAGACAACGAUCAGUAGGGGUUCUGAGAGGAAUGUCCACCACAUUGGAACAGAGAAACGGUCCAAACUCCUACGGGAGGCAGCAGUGAGGAAUAUUGGUCAAUGGGCUGAAGCCUCAACCAGCCAAGUAACGUGCAGGAUGACGGCCCUAUCGGUUGUAAACUGCUUUUGUACAGGAAUAAAGUUAGCCAGGUGUGGUUAUUUAUAGGUACUGUAUGAAUAAGGACCGGCUAAUUCCGUGCCAGCAGCCGCAGUAA
rnacentral:rRNA from 1 species